UGAGGAACAUGACCUUCGGCGGGGGAUAGCCGGCCCAACGGCCGGGUAAUACCGCGUACGACCACAUGGGGACAUCCCUGAGUGGUGAAAGCAGCAAUGCGCCGAUGGAGUGCCUCGCGGCCUAUCAGCUAGUUGGUGAGGUAACGGCUCACCAAGGCGACGACGGGUAGCUGGUCUGAGAGGAUGGCCAGCCACAUUGGGACUGAGAUACGGCCCAGACUCUACGGGAGG
rnacentral:rRNA from 1 species